UGCAAUUCGAUCGGUGAACUGGCUUUCGGUGGGGGUCAGUGGCGAACGGGUGAUAACACGUGGGCAACCUGCCCCCGGCUCUGGGAUAACUCCAAGAAAUCGGGGCUAAUACCGGAUAUGACUCGCUGACCGCGUGGUCUGGUGGUGGAAAGAUUUAUCGGCUGGGGAUGGGCCCGCGGCCUAUCAGCUUGUUGGUGGGGUAGUGGCCUACCAAGGCGACGACGGGUAGCCGGCCUGAGAGGGUGACCGGCCACACUGGGACUGAGACACGGCCCAGACUCCUACGGGAGGCAGCAGUGGGGAAUAUUGCGCAAUGGGCGGAAGCCUGACGCAGCGACGCCGCGUGGGGGAUGACGGCCUUCGGGUUGUAAACCUCUUUCAGCAGGGACGAAGCGGAAGUGACGGUACCUGCAGAAGAAGCACCGGCCAACUACGUGCCAGCAGCCGCGGUAAUACGUAGGGUGCAAGCGUUGUCCGGAAUUAUUGGGCGUAAAGAGCUCGUAGGCGGUCUGUCGCGUCGGCUGUGAAAACCCGAGGCUCAACCUCAGGCCUGCAGUCGAUACGGGCAAACUGGAGUGUUGCAGGGGAGACUGGAAUUCCUGGUGUAGCGGUGAAAUGCGCAGAUAUCAGAGGAACACCGGUGGCGAAGGCGGGUCUCUGGGCAACAACUGACGCUGAGGAGCGAAAGCGUGGGGAGCGAACAGGAUUAGAUACCCUGGUAGUCCACGCCGUAAACGUU
rnacentral:rRNA from 1 species